CUCAUCUCAGGAUGAACUUCCAGGACUAAGGAUUUUUACAACGACCUCUCUAAUAGGAAUACCUUAAUCUAGCCAGCAUGAAUGUGUUGUCAGCGGUUCAGAUGGGAGCAAGUAUGAAUCACAUUUCCUAGGUAAUGCACAUGUAUGCGGAGAAACAAAAAAUCAGUGACUUCCACCAAGAAAAGCAGCGCGGCUGAUGCAUAUUACGAAAGCUUCUGACUAAAGUCUUUAAGAUGAACUGAGCAUGUGAACUUCUUCAUAAGGUUGUAACAGAUAAAAUGAACCCAGUUCUUGUUUCUGUAAGUGGAAUAUAAAUUUUCAUUUUAUUUCCCCCA